CUGCAGCUGCCCCUCCUCUUCUGUGGAUUCUCAUGUGUGACCCUUCUUUCGUAGGUCCCUGGAGGAAUCUGUAGGGAAGCCUCUCUACCUGAUAUUUAGGUAAGCACCCAGUGGUAAGAGGAACUGCUCUCCCCUCCAUUCUCCCUACAGCACACAUUUGUCCCUGUCCUGGGUCACAUGGCUCUGUUUCCAGAGAGGAGGAGGUUUGUAGUGGGCAGAGUCUCCCUGGGUAAUGCCUCUCCUUUUCCCCCACCUCCAGGAACCUGUGCCAGAUGCAGGAAGACAACAGCAGCUUCUCUCUGCUCCUGGACCUUCUGUCUGAGCUCUAUCAGAAGCAGCCCAAGAUUGGCUACCACCUGCUCUACUACCUGAGGGCCAGGUGGGUGUCGGGUAGCUACUGGAGAGCCAGCCUUUCUCCCCUGCACAUCGAUUCCCUUGGCUCUCUUCACCAGCACCUUCCAUGCGUUUUGGUGCUAGGGAUAAAUCCAGGGCCUUGUGCAUGCUAAGUGUUUGUUUUUUUAAAUAACAGCUUUAUUGAGGUAUAAAUUUUUGUACCAUAAAUUUACUUUUUUUUUUUAAUUUUUUUUUUUUUAGUUGUAGUUGACACAAUACCUUUAUUUUAUUUAUUUAUUUUUAUGUGGGGCUGAGGGUCGAACCCAGGGCCUCACACAUGCUAGGCAAGUGCUCUACCGCUGAGCCACAACCCCAGCCCCCAAAAUUCACUCUUUUGAAGUGUACCAUUCAGUGUUUUUUAGGGUACUCACAAAGUUAUACAAAUAUCACUGCUGUGUAACUUAAAACACUUCAUCACUCUUAAGGAAACCUCCUUAUUCUCUCUCUCUCUUUUAAGAUGGGUUCUUUGUUGCCUAGGUUAAGCUCAUACUCUUGGAUUCAAGAGAUGCUCCUGCCUCAGCCUCCUAGGGAACUAGGACUAUACACAUAUACUGCCAUACUUAGUCUUUCUCGAUUUUAACCCUGUUGUUUGUCUUUUUAUUGCUGCCCUUUUUUCUCUUUCUUGUUUUUGGUACUGGGGAUUGAACAGGCUCCACACAUGCCAGGUAGGCAGUCUACCACUGAGCUACAUCCACAGCCCUUUUUACUUUGAGGCUGGGUCUCUUUAAAUUGUCCAUCCUGAGCCAAACUUGGUGAUCCUUCUGCCUCAUCCUCCUGAGUAGCUGGGAUUAUAGGCACAUAAUAUUCUAAUAGUAUGGAUACAGGUUGUCUUAUUUUUUUGGUGCUGGGGAUUGAACCGAGGACCUCACGUGUGCUGAGCUCAUGUUCUAGCACUAAGUUUCACCUGCCACCUUCCAAGCCUGUCUUUUCACUUUAUAUAAUUUUUAUAUUUAUUCAUAUAUAUAUUUACUUAUUUAUUUAUUUUAGUUGUAGACGGUCAUAAUACCUUCAUUUUAUUUAUUUAUUUUUAUGUGGUGUUGAGGAUCAAACCCAGUGCCUCACAUGUGCUAAUAAAUAAGCAAGCGCUGUACCACUGAGUUACAACCUUAGCCCCUCUUUUCACUUCUUUGGUGAUAACCCUUUUAAAACACCAAAGUGGCAGGGUGCAGUGGCACACUCCUGUAAUCCCAGAAGCUCAGGAGGCUAAGGCAGGAGGAUUUCAAGUUCAAAGCCAGCCUCAGCAACUUAGUGAGGCCCUAAAUAACUUAGUGAGACUGUGUGUCAACAUUAAAAGAACAGAGUGGGGAGAGCUAGAGAUGUGGCUCAGUGGUUAAGCACCCCUGGGUUUAAUCCCCAGUACCAAAAACAAACAAAAAACACGAAAGUAUUAAAUUUUUGUGAAGUCAAAUCUGUUUUUCCUUUUGUCACUUGUUUUUGGUAUUAUGAAGACUUGCUCCUGUUUUCUUCUAAGUGUUGUGUGGUUUUUGUUCUUAUAGUUAAGCCUAUUAGCCAUUUGAGUGAAGUUUUGUGUAUGGUAUGAGUUGGUACUGUCCUCAUGGAUAGAACCCAGAAGGAAGAGAGCUGUCUCUAACCUGACCCUAGUCUUCCCUCUCCUGUCACUCUGGCAGUGAGUAGCUUCAUUGAUCUCAGAGCCCUGUGUGGGUACUGGGAAGAGAUGGGGAAGCAAGAGUGUCUCCUGAUUCUUAGGUUGUCAAGCCCUUGGGAAAGGCAGGAAGGAAUAAAUAAAUAAAAGGGGACAAAUGAGCACAGGGCAUGUAGGAGAGACGAAGGCAUUCCAGGGUAGGAGCAGACUGCUUCAGAACAUCUCAAAUUCUGGUGCUGUGGUCCGGCUACUGACUUGGGCCCAAUUGGUUUUGCAGCAAAGCUGCCGCUGGGAAGAUGAACUUGUAUGAGUCAUUUGCCCAGGCCACCCAGCUGGGUGACCUGCACACCUGCCUAAUGAUGGACAUGAAGGCCUGCCAGGAGGACGAUGUGCGGCUGCUAUGCCAUCUCACACCCUCCAUCUACACAGAGGUCAGUGUGUCCAUCCUUAUCCAUGGUCGUGGGUAGUACAGGGGGCUCACAAGUGACCACCUACCUUGGUGUACACUCUGAACAUCACAUACAACCCCUUCUGACCUCAGUGGCCACUGCUUCUCACAGUUUAAUUCUCUUCAUUCCAGUGCUUUCUGUUAAAAGUUGAAUAGUUUUUGAGGCUCCGAGAAUUCUUGUCCUUUGGUUUUAACUGUGGUUUAAGUUGGGGUGUGGACCCAUAUACUUGGCUUCCCGGUUUCAGCCCCAUCAUCUGGGCCUAGAACAGGUCCCCCAGUCAGAUGCAUAUUGGUAUGUCCCAAGCUCUCACCCUGUGAUGGCUCACUCUUGGAUGCUCUCUAAUGGUUCCUGAAGACCAGAGCUCCUGAAGCAGAGAUUCACUUUCAUUUCCCCCAGUUCAUUCACGUCUUCUCUCAGAAUUGGGAUGGAGGAGGAGGUAUCAACUCUUGUUCCUCUUGGUAGAAGUUCCUAGGAAGAGGGAAAUGAGGACUCCGGGUGUGAUCUAACCAGAGGAACUAGGAUCUCAGCCAUGCACUAGGGGCAGGGGGUGGGGUAUCACACCCCCUUUUUGUCCUUCCCUCCUAGACUGGACUCUCCCUCCCCCACCCACCCCUCACAAGCCCCUAGAUACACUCACUCUGUACCUUCUCUUUGUCUUGAGAUGCUGAUGAAUUGGAUUUCUUUGCUGCCAGGAGUAUAAAUAUUUUUCUGUUGCCACUCCCACCUAGAGCCAGCUGGCAUGUCCGGUUAGCUCUGGUUUUUCCCACUUCUCUCCUUGUACACACCCCUUGUGGUGUGCACACACAGAUAACAAACGUGGCAUUUGAAGGGUUGUGUUCCCAGCUUCAUAGCUGUUGGAUCUUGUAGGGAUUUAUGUUAGGAUUCAUGUCUGGCCAGCUUAGCCAGACCUUGAGCCUGUGGUAAGGAAGGUCUAUGAGUUGUAAAGGGAAAGCCAAGGGGCCCACCCUGGACGACUCCUCUAGUUUCCCUCUUCUUCUAUCUAGUUUCCAGAUGAAACCUUGAGGAGUGGGGAGCUGCUGAACAUGAUCGUGGCUGUUAUUGACUCUGCACAGGUGAACAUGGAACUUUGGCAUCUGCAGAAUGGCCUAGAAGGCAGGACUGAGGAAAUCAGGGCCUCUGCUUUCUGUUCAGGCAUACAGGCAGGAGCCCAUGCUCCACAGCACACUGCCUCCUGGCUGCAGUUGGACGUACUUUAGGCCAUGGAGGAUGGGGAGGAAAAGUGCAGAUCAAAGGCCAGUUCUGCUGGGGUUGCUGUUUGUUUGUUUGGGGCGGGUGGGUACCAGGGAUUUAACUCAGGGGCACUGACCACUGAGCCACAUCCCCAGCCCUCUUCUGCAUUUUAUUUAGAGACAGGGUCUUGCUAAGUUGCUUAGCACCUCUUUUUUGCUGAGGUUGGCUUUGAAUUCUUGAUCCUCCUAUCUCAGCCUCCCGCCCGAGCCACUGGGAUUACAGGCAUGUGUCGCUGUGUCCAGCUCAUUUAUUUAUUUUUAUUUAUUUAUUUUGCAGUACUUGUGAUUGAAUUUAGAGGUGCUCUACUGCUGAGUGACAACCUUUUUUUUUUUUUUUUAAUUUUGAGACAGAAUCUUACUAAAUUGCCAUAGGCCUCAAAUUUUUGAUCCUCCUGCUUCACUCUCCUAAAUUGCUGGGAUUACAGGCAUGCACCAUCACACUUGGUGAGGGGUUUUUUUGUUUUUGUUUUUUUCUCAACUGGCCUUCCCCUUGGCUCAGAAUGAAAAUCAUCACAUCAUUUCUACUUGACUUUUCCACCAUGCAUAGGGCCCCAAGAGAUGCUGGGAUUCAUCUCAUGCCUGGACUAAGGAUCCUUUUUUCUCCUGUUUGCUCAUUGGAAAUUAGCACUCAACAGUUCACCUUUCUUUGCCUUUACCUGCCCACGUGUAGGUCUAGAACCUGGCCCCCCAGGUCCUUCACCCACAAGGCUAAACUAAGUAAGACCAGAAGGAAAAGUUGUCCUUUCACUCUGCCAUCAGGGUGUGAAUAGUUUUCCACAAGUGUUCUUGCCCCAGAAUAGGCCCAGGGUUACUACUCAGUUGGUUGCUGUUUGACCAGCCCCUUCAUCCUUCAGAGACUGUAGCUUUCAUGGCAUUAUGCCUCUCCCUUCACAGUGGCCUCUGGCCUCUUUUAGAGCUGAUGACUCUGCCUUUUCCCUCUUCUUCCAUAGCUCCAGGAGCUGGUCUGCCAUGUGAUGAUGGGGAACCUGGUCAUGUUUCGAAAAGAUUCAGUCCUCAACAUACUCAGUAAGUGACCAGACCUUUUAGAUGCCCAGGAGAGGAGAGAGUGUCGGCCUAUGUGUUUUCCAGUGACAAGAACACUGGUUCUGGGGCUGGGAGUGGAGGGGUAGCACGCCACCCCAGCCUACCUGCUAUGUGGUCUUGGAUUGGUCUCUUUCAUAAGAUGGAAAGGUUUACCUCUGUCCCUCUAACUUCAGGGUGGGUGGGAAUACAGAAGCCCUGUGAAGACUGAAAUCAGGUGUCAUGUGGAAAGGGCAAGGGCCUAGAUUUAAGGUCACUGUCCCUCCCCUUACGCCAUCCCUGCCCUAUCUUGUCCCUAUUUGGAGUGCUGAUAGCCAGUUAGCUGAGCGUGUGUGUGUAAGAGAGAGAUAGAUGGAGGUUUCUUGUCUCUUCCAGUCCAGAGCCUAGACUGGGAAACCUUUGAGCAGUAUUGUGCCUGGCAGCUCUUCCUGGCCCACAACAUCCCCCUGGAGACCAUAAUCCCCAUCCUGCAGCACCUCAAAUACAAGGGUGAGUAGGGUUGAAGAUGGGAGAAGACCUCCAGUGCAGCUGGGGCAGGGCUGAGGCCGCCAGCUUCUAGGGUGAACCAGAGCCCUGCUCCUUCCCACCAUGGUGCAGAGAGCAGGCUCACUGUUGGUCAUUGGGCCCUGGAGAUGAGCUUUGCAGGUGCAUCCUGAGCCUGGCCCCUGGGCUGUGGCUCAGAUGCCUCUGGCAUUAGGAUCAGGGUAGGGGAUUCUUCCUGGCUUUUCGUCAAGGACUGUCCUUGGUCUUCCAGUGGCUGUUGGUGGGGGUGUGGGAGAGGUGCCCAGAUCCAUUCGUGGAAUAACACAUUCCUCUGAGCAGCCUGUACCCUUCCCCCAUAGAACACCCAGAGGCCCUGUCCUGCCUGCUGCUGCAGCUCCGAAGAGAAAAGUGAGUUCUACCCUUAGAGACUCUUAGCCCUUAGUCCCAAUGUCCUAAGAGAUACUGUGGCAUAAAGGGCUCUGUCCUGCUCCUUUUGCCAUGUUUGUUUCCUAUUAUUGACAUCUGCUUAUUCUGCCCUCCCCUCAGUGUGACUUACAAAUAAGCAGUCCCCUGGGAUCUGGGCUUCCUCUGACUUUACCCCCCCUGCCCACCAGAAACUGUCCUCAGAGGUGGGGACCGGACAUCCCUGUUUCCUGCUACCACAGCAGUUCUAAUCCUGGUGGCUCAUGCUCCCCUCCCUCAUGCUCCUGCAGGCCACCACAGGCUAAUCCAGGAGGAGGAAGGGUCAGAGUAGAGGGCUCACACCCAUGCUCUCCCUUAACCUACACAGUGCAGAGCCAGCUGGGCCCAUUGUGCCCCUGCCAGGGGUGGGGCAUGGUGGGCAAGAAAGCAGAAGUCUCCUCUUCCAUCACAGGCAACUUAGCACCAUCCCCAGGCUAAUGGGGCCACAGCUGUGUGUCUUUUCCUUCCUACCUUCUUGUCUUCCUUCCACCUUUUCUCCUGAGACACUAGAAAUGGUACAGAAUUUCCUGGGGAAGUGGGAAGUUUGGAGGCCUCUCUCCUGCCCCUCCCUCAACCUGGAUACCAGGCUUACCCCCAGCUCCAGCAGGUCAGGGGACCACAGACUUGUCCUUUGUCUCUUAGUCUCCCUCCUGACUCCUCUGGGGUAGCUAGGAGUUUGUUGGGCCUCCUUCCUGACACAUACUUGCACACUUUCCACCAUCAAACAGAAUAAUCUCACUUCUCCUCUGGCUUCUGCAGAGAGUGCAGCCAUGUGUUCCUUGGCCCAAAGAGAAGUGGGGGAGGGAUGUGAGUGUAGGAAGCGACAGCCAGGCUUGGGUUGGGUAGGGAGGCUCAGAUUCGGGAAAUCAGUAGUAAGUAAGCGGCUCCUAAGGCCAGUGUGUGGGCACAGCAUCCAGCACCCUGCUCCCCCCAGGCCCAGUGAGGAGAUGGUAAAGAUGGUCCUGAGCCGGCCCUGUCAUCCCGACGACCAGUUCACCACCAGCAUCCUGCGGCACUGGUGCAUGAAGCACGAUGAGCUGCUGGCAGAGCACAUCAAGUCCCUGCUCAUCAAGAACAAUAGCCUCCCUCGCAAGAGGCAGAGGUGGGAUGUGGUCCUUGUUUCCUGCCCACUGUCAACGGGGCAUCACCAGGGCAGUCUACAGUGACUGCCGCCUACGGUUGGUGGGUGACAUCUAGUGGUCUGAAGCCAUGCGGCCUAUAGGACCAGUGUGGCUCCUACUCCCCUCUCAUCGUGCCCUGCAGCUGUACACCUUUCUUAGCACACCCAGUCCUCCUAUCUCCCCUGGGGAAUGGACUGCCUCUGUCCUGAGGAGGGAUCUCGGUGAGGUGGAGGUGUCACACGACUGGAGCCCUCCCUUUAGGCUCAGACCAGCUCUUGUCACCUCCCUGUGCAGUCUCAGAAGCUCAAGCAGCAAGCUGGCCCAGCUGACUCUAGAGCAGAUCCUGGAGCACUUGGACAACCUGCGGCUCAACCUGACCAACACCAAGCAGAACUGUAUGCUUCUUACCCUCUUGGGGUCUAGUGCGUGGAGUGCUGCCCAGCUCAGACGCCCCUAAAGCCAGGCGGGUGGCAGGGGCAGAACCAGAACCCAAACUCUUGGGAGGAAACAAGCUUUGGUGUGGUUUAAUAAGCUCCCAGACAUCUAAUCAUUUUUCUUCCCUGCUCUCCUUUCCUUCUCCCUCCAGUUUUUAGCCAGACCCCAAUCCUCCAGGCACUGCAGCAUGUCCAAGCAAGUUGUGAUGAAGCCCACAAGAUGAAGUGAGGCUCCUUCCACUUCUGGUCUUGGGAAGUAGCGAGCAGAAGGCCUAGGGGAGAGGAGGCCCACUGGGGACACAAGCUUAAUAGCCAUCAAGACCCUGAGGUUGGGCUGGGAAUAUAGCUCAGUUGUAGAGUGCUUCUCUUGCAUCACAAGGCUCUGGGUUCAAUCCCCAGCACCGCCAAAAAACACCAACAAAAAAACCCCAAGGUUGAUAAGAGAAAUAGACCUAAGCCUGUGGGCAGAAAACAGCAUGGGAGGUGGCCAUGGGGUCAGGAUGUUCCACUCUGAGAGUUUAUUCUCCUUCCCCUUAGGUUCAGUGACCUCUUCUCCCUGGCAGAGGAAUAUGAGGACUCGUCUACUAAGCCACCCAAGAGCCGGCGAAAGGCAGCUCUGUCUAGCCCUCGAAGUCGGAAGAAUGCCACUCAGCCGCCCAAUGCUGAGGAAGAGUCGGGCUCCAGCAGUGCCUCGGUGAGACCCCGUCCAGCACCAUGGGGAGAGGCGCAAUGGGGCGGAUGGAAUGGGGGCCAGCAGGCAGCUGCCCAGCUAGUGAUUUCCCUUCUCCCCAUCCCCGUCUCUUCCAGGAGGAAGAAGACACAAAACCAAAGCCCACCAAGCGGAAACGAAAAGGGUCUUCUGCCGUGGGUUCUGACAGUGACUGAGAUCCUAUGUUCCCCAUCCUACCCUCAAUUGGACUGCCCUCCCCCUGGUGAAUCAAAGGGUAACAGGGCUGGGGAGAUACAGGGAAGAUGCCCUCCCUGCCCUGAGCUUGCCCAGUGGAAAGGAUGAGCUGCUUCUGACACCAGCCUGAGGAGCUGCCGUGCAGCCCCCCUCUGCCUCUCUGUCCUGGGGCCUCCUGUUCCCCACAUUGCCACUUCCACUGCCAUUUGGGUCUCAUGGCAGCCAGAGGCUGUGCCAGACCAGACCCUGGUGGAAUUGAUCAGCUCCCUGCCCCUCCUUCAGCCCCCUCCCCAUCUCCCAAAGAACGCUUAGCAGAGAAGGGCAGUGACAAAGGGGCGCCUGGCUGAGAGGCUAGGACGAGAGCAGGUGCUGGCUGUGGGUCCGCUUCCUGCUUCCCCGGGUUCUGGAUUUGCUCUGAACACAUGCUCUGUGGUCAUUCUCCACACCAGUGUGUAGUGGGCAUCGACCUGGUAUGGUGGCCACUAUUCCAGGCAGAUGCCAUAAACCUUCAGGAAGGAACCUGAAA
rnacentral:lncRNA from 1 species